CCUACGGGAGGCAGCAGUGAGGAAUAUUGGUCAAUGGGCGCGAGCCUGAACCAGCCAAGUAGCGUGAAGGAUGACUGCCCUACGGGUUGUAAACUUCGUUUAUAAAGGAAUAAAGUGAGGCACGUGUGCCUUUUUGUAUGUACUUUAUGAAUAAGGAUCGGCUAGCUACGUUCCAGCAGCCGCGGUAAUACGGAGGAUCCGAGCGUUAUCCGGAUUUAUUGGGUUUAAAGGGAGCGUAGAUGGGUUGUUAAGUCAGUUGUGAAAGUUUGCGGCUCAACCGUAAAAUUGCAAUUGAUACUGGCAGCCUUGAGUGCAGUUGAGGUAGGCGGAAUUCGUGGUGUAGCGGUGAAAUGCUUAGAUAUCACGAAGAACUCCGAUUGCGAAGGCAGCUUACUAAACUGCCACUGACAUUGAUGCGCGAAAGUGUGGGUAUCAAACAGGAUUAGAUACCCUAGUAGUC
rnacentral:rRNA from 1 species